rnacentral:rRNA from 1 species
AGUCUGGUGCCAGCAGCCGCGGUAAUUCCAGCUCCAAUAGUGUAUACUAAAGUUGCUGCAGUUAAAAAGCUCGUAGUUGGAUUUCGGUUAAUGAAAAGUUAGUCCACUUAAUAUAUAAGUGCGUACUGACGUUUUAUUUCCUUCUUUUCAGAUAUACAACUUGUUGUGUUCUGAAUCUUUUACUUUGAGAAAAUUAGAGUGUUCAAAGCAGGCGUAACCAAGCCUUUGAAUAUAUUAGCAUGGGAUAAUGGAAUAAGACUUUUUGCCUUAUUUUCGUUGGUUCUUGAGGCUAAAGUAAUGAUUAAUAGGGAUAGUUGGGGUCAUUAGUAUUUAAUUGUCAGAGGUGAAAUUCUAAGAUUUAUUAAAGACUAACUACUGCGGAAGCAUUUGACAAGGAUGUUUUCAUUAAUCAAGAACGAAAGUUGGGGGAUCGAAGAUGAUCAGAUACCGUCGUAGUCUCAACCAUAAACUAUGCCGACCAAGGAUUCGGGGGUGUUAUAUGAAUGACCCUCCGGGCACUUAUAGAGAAAUCAUAAGUAUUUGGGUUCCGGGGGGAGUAUGGUCGCAAGGCUGAAACUUAAAGGAAUUGACGGAAGGGCACCACCAGGAGUGGAAUAUGCGGUUUAAUUUGACCCAACACGGGAAAACUUACCAAGUCCAGACACAGUGAGGAUUGACAGAUUGAGAGCUCUUUCUUGAUUUUGUGGGUGGUGGUGCAUGGCCGUUUCUAGUUGGUGGAGUGAUUUGUCUGGUUAAUUCCGUUAACGAACGAGACCUUAACCUAUUAAAUAGUUACACAUACUUGGGAUUCGUCCUAAUAGUAUGUGGUUAACUUCUUAGAGGGACUCUUCACGUAAAGAGUGAAUGGAAGUUUGAGGCAAAAACAGGUCUGUGAUGCCCUUAGAUGUUCUGGGCUACACGCGUGUUACACUGAUAUAUUCAACAAGCAUUAUAAUUCCUUACCCGAUGGGGUUGGGUAAUCUUUCAAAUGUAUAUCGUGAUGGGGAUAGACCAUUGUAAUUAUUGGUCUUGAACGAGGAAUUCCUAGUAAGUGCAAGUCAUUAGCUUGCGCUGAUUACGUCCCUGCCCUUUGUACACACCGCCCGUCGCUCCUACCGAUGAAUGGUCAGGUGAGGACUCAGGAUGACCGUGGAUUUUGGUAUAAUAUACCAUGCCAUUGUUUGUCAGAAUCUGUUCAAACCUUAUCAUUUAAAGGAAGGAGAAGUCGUAACAAGGUUUCCGUAGGUGAACCUGCGGAAG